AUGCAAAAAGAAUCUUAUGUUGUUUAUUAUUUUGACUACUAAUUUAUGUCUAGCUUAAUAUUGUUAAGUUGGGUUAUAUUAUUAAUCCCGUUUAUUAGGCCUAUUAUGCUUAGGAGUCUUAAUUAGUAUAAGUAGCCUUGUACUCUUGUUAUUUAUCAUUCAGUCUUAAUUAGUAUAAGUAGCCCUUGCGUGAUCGUGCGGAUUGGGCUCUUCACGAGCUUAUCGUGAACUAUCAUUGCAUUCCCAAACUCGACAGCUUGUAAAACAAUUCUAGUCACCUCGUUCUUGGUUUUCCAUUUAGUUCAAAUCGUCCAUUUCUCGUGCUCGUUUUAAGCAUCUUUUUUUCAGCCUUUGAUCAUGCAUUUUAAACUUGGUGCAGGUGCAACAAUGGUUCCUAUAAGCUGGACAGAGAUGCAGUGCCCUCUAACAGGUCAAACUGAGCAGAGAAAAGUUGCGAAGGUCGACGUCGUCUGACCGGUAGAAGUAGCUGAAAAAUGCAACUUGCGAAGAAAGCCAUUGCAGUUGAGAAAUAGUGGAAAAUGCGCAGUGUUAGCUUCUUAGCUUUGAGUCGAGAGGCUUGAUUUGAGAAGUGUACUAUUUCAGAAUUUUAUAGAAAUCAAUGUUAAAGUUGGCAAUUUACCUUUCUCCUCAAUGCAAAUUCUUUAGUUAUUUAAAUUUUCGUGCAAUUGUUAAUGGCAAAAGGAUAAAAUUUUGCUUAUUUCAGUAUAUGAUUUUUGAAGGCUGGGGACACUUAUUCAAAUAGGUAGAAAUACAUUUUUGUCACCUGUUCAUACACAUGCAGUCAUAAACUCAUAUUUUUUGGAAUUUUUUGCUACUUAAGUAAAAUAA
rnacentral:lncRNA from 1 species